AACGCACGAGACCUGCGGACCUGCGGAAGGAUCAUUUGUGAGGGGUUAAUCCCUAAACAUAUCCAAUACAUUGUGAAUUGUAAUUGGCUUCGGCCACUACAAACUCUGUGUAACGAAAGUAUACUAUUGUAAUUAAUAAAACUUUCAACAAUGGAUCUCU
rnacentral:misc_RNA from 1 species